rnacentral:rRNA from 1 species
GAUGAACGCUGGCGGCGUGCUUAACACAUGCAAGUCGAACGAUGAAGCCCAGCUUGCUGGGUGGAUUAGUGGCGAACGGGUGAGUAACACGUGAGUAACCUGCCCUUCACUCUGGGAUAAGCCUGGGAAACUGGGUCUAAUACCGGAUAGGAGCGUCCACCGCAUGGUGGGUGUUGGAAAGAUUUAUCGGUUUUGGAUGGACUCGCGGCCUAUCAGCUUGUUGGUGAGGUAAUGGCUCACCAAGGCGACGACGGGUAGCCGGCCUGAGAGGGUGACCGGCCACACUGGGACUGAGACACGGCCCAGACUCCUACGGGAGGCAGCAGUGGGGAAUAUUGCACAGUGGGCGCAAGCCUGAUGCAGCGACGCCGCGUGAGGGAUGACGGCCUUCGGGUUGUAAACCUCUUUCAGUAGGGAAGAAGCGAAAGUGACGGUACCUGCAGAAGAAGCACCGGCUAACUACGUG